rnacentral:lncRNA from 1 species
AAAAUUUCAAUUGAAUUUCAGAAUUUGGCACAUAGAAUUUCAGAAUUCGGCACAUACCUUUCACACCUCGAUACAUAAUCUGAAACUCAUGCUUUAUCUAAAAUUUUUGAAGUUUCAUCUUUAAUGAAAUAUAAAAGAAAGGGGGAGCAAUUCAAAAAGUCAAAUCGGAAACAUUUGGAUGAAAUAGGGGGAGACUUCACUCUCAAAUUUGAAAAGCUAAAAUUCAGCAACUUGAGCCUUUUUAAAACUGAUUUUAAGAUAAGUAUCAAUAGGCUCAUACUCUAUAUUUUGUAAUCAUCAAAAAGGGGGAGAUUGAGGAUGAUAGUGGUAUUUUGAUGAUUAAUAC